rnacentral:rRNA from 1 species
GACGAACGCUGGCGGCGUGCCUAAUACACGCAAGUCGAGCGAAUCACUGGGAGCUUGCUCCUGUUGGUUAGCGGCGGACGGGUGAGUAACACGUGGGCAACCUGCCUGUAAGACUGGGAUAACACCGGGAAACCGGUGCUAAUACCGGAUAAUCCUUUUCCUCUCAUGAGGAAAAGCUGAAAGUCGGUUUCGGCUGACACUUACAGAUGGGCCCGCGGCGCAUUAGCUAGUUGGUGAGGUAACGGCUCACCAAGGCGACGAUGCGUAGCCGACCUGAGAGGGUGAUCGGCCACACUGGGACUGAGACACGGCCCAGACUCCUACGGGAGGCAGCAGUAGGGAAUCUUCCACAAUGGACGAAAGUCUGAUGGAGCAACGCCGCGUGAGCGAUGAAGGCCUUCGGGUCGUAAAGCUCUGUUGUUAGGGAAGAACAAGUACCGGAGUGACUGCCGGUACCUUGACGGUACCUAACCAGAAAGCCACGGCUAACUACGUGCCAGCAGCCGCCGUAAAAC